rnacentral:rRNA from 1 species
UAUUGGACAACGGGCGAAAGCCUGAUCCAGCCAUGCCGCGUGUGUGAAGAAGGUCUUCGGAUUGUAAAGCACUUUAAGUUGGGAGGAAGGGCAUUAACCUAAUACGUUAGUGUUUUGACGUUACCGACAGAAUAAGCACCGGCUAACUCUGUGCCAGCAGCCGCGGUAAUACAGAGGGUGCAAGCGUUAAUCGGAAUUACUGGGCGUAAAGCGCGCGUAGGUGGUUUGUUAAGUUGGAUGUGAAAUCCCCGGGCUCAACCUGGGAACUGCAUUCAAAACUGACAAGCUAGAGUAUGGUAGAGGGUGGUGGAAUUUCCUGUGUAGCGGUGAAAUGCGUAGAUAUAGGAAGGAGCACCAGUGGCGAAGGCGACCACCUGGACUGAUACUGACACUGAGGUGCGAAAGCGUGGGGAGCAAACAGG